CGUCCGUCAGCCGUCAGAUAUAAGUAUAUAAGUACUUAAAAUUUUAUAUUUAAUUUUCGAAAGUUUUAUAAGCAAUAAGUGAGUUUAAAUAUUGCAGUAAUUUUGUAUUGAAUGUUAUCUUAAAUUCCGUUCAUCUUAGCGGUGCUGAGGAUGUAUUUUUGCCCUUCUCGGAGUGUUCGCGAACAUUCAAUUGAUCACUGAGUUGAAGGGGGCCUGCCGGACAAGGACAAGGAUACCUCAUCUACAUCCGGUUUUUUAACAAACAUAGCAGUAGAUAAAAAUUGAAGGUCAACUAAAUGCUAAAUCGACUAGUAGUUAUGAGUUAUCAUGAAUUGCCGAAUCAGUGUAAUAUAUCUUGUAGAAGAUGUGUGACACUGCACGUGCUUGUAUUGGAUGAUGCGGAUCAGUGCUUGAAAUGGGUGCCAUUAUAAGCAAUGGCGCCUCCUUUGGCUUUUUGAUUUACCCUUUGUUGUCAGUGUCGAACCAAGAGAUGAUUCAGGAAACGGUAUUGAUAAAAGGGAAAGAUAAGUGGCUGCCCGUUUUUUGACCGGCCCUUUCAGUUGUACUGUUGCAACGCGAACUGUUUCACUUCUAAUAUUCUCUUCAUUGAUGGAAAAUAUUCACCCUUUACUAUCAAUAAUUGGCCAACUGUCAUGUUAGGUUGGGGCCUUAGCCACUUGGGUCUAUGUUGUAAUUGAGGUAGGUAUUGACUAUG